rnacentral:rRNA from 1 species
CCUACGGGAGGCAGCAGUGGGGAAUCUUGCGCAAUGGGCGAAAGCCUGACGCAGCAACGCCGCGUGCGGGAAGAAGGCUUUCGGGCUGUAAACCGCUUUCAGCAGGAACGAAAAUGACGGUACCUGCAGAAGAAGGAGCGGCCAACUAUGUGCCAGCAGCCGCGGUGAUACAUAGGCUUCAAGCGUUGUCCGGAUUUAUUGGGCGUAAAGAGUUCGUAGGCGGUCGAGUAAGUCGGGUGUGAAAAUUCUGGGCUCAACCCAGAGACGCCACCCGAUACUGCUUGACUUGAGUUCGAUAGGGGAGUGGGGAAUUCCUAGUGUAGCGGUGAAAUGCGCAGAUAUUAGGAGGAACACCGGUGGCGAAGGCGCCACUCUGGAUCGAUACUGACGCUGAGGAACGAAAGCAUGGGUAGCAAACAGGAUUAGAUACCCUGGUAGUCCAUGCCGUAAACGGUGGGCACUAGGUGUAGGGUUUCUAUUAACGAAAUCCGCGCCGUCGCUAACGCAUUAAGUGCCCCGCCUGGGGAGUACGGGUCGCAAGACUAAAACUCAAAGGAAUUGACGG